CGAUCCUACGGGAGGCAGCAGUAGGGAAUCUUCCACAAUGGACGAAAGUCUGAUGGAGCAACGCCGCGUGAGUGAAGAAGGGUUUCGGCUCGUAAAGCUCUGUUGGUAGUGAAGAAAGAUAGAGGUAGUAACUGGCCUUUAUUUGACGGUAAUUACUUAGAAAGUCACGGCUAACUACGUGCCAGCAGCCGCGGUAAUACGUAGGUGGCAAGCGUUGUCCGGAUUUAUUGGGCGUAAAGCGAGUGCAGGCGGUUCAAUAAAGUUUG
rnacentral:rRNA from 1 species